GGUAUCAACAACUGAAUCUUCUGUUUGCUUUUAUACUGUAGAGCUUUUAAAAUCUCAAAUUUUCUGGUAUUUUGAGCAAAUAUUAUAUGCCUGCCUUUUGUAAAGAUAGAUAUUGAUCCUUUUUGCUUGUUGAUUGUUACAGCUAAUGGAUCUUAAUUUUAAAAUUAAUUUUGCAAGGUUUCUGUUUGUUCCAAAUGUGUAUGAAAGUUUGCCUGCAUGUAUGUCUGGUGUCCAUGGAAGUCAGAAGAGCCUGUGGGUUCCCUUGGAACUGGAUGGAGUUAGGGUUGGUUGUGAGCCACUAUGUGGGUGCUAGGAAUCAAGCACUGAUCUGGUCCUCUGAAAACAAGUGUUGUUAACUAUGGAGCCAUCUCGACAGCUGCCCUUGAGUUAAUUUUAUGGUAGAUAAUACAUUUCACUUUAUAGUCCACACAAAGUAUAGGAUUUUCUGAUCAUGCCACAAAUUGGUCACUUCUCAGUUGAUUGCUUGUCAGUUUAAGUGCUGUGGUAGUAAAUGAAACGUGCCAUGCAUGUAUAAGUACAUGGUGAGAAGAAAAAUCUGAUUGCUCCUGUGCAAAUAGAAGGAAAUAUUAAGACACGUGGGAUGUGUGGCUACUUUUGAUGGAAAGGAGACUGGUACGGGUAAGAAAAUGGGGUGGAGGAUUUCACUGUAUGAGAAAUGGAGUGAGAGAUUAAAAGUACAAUAGAAGUGUGGUUACUGGCAGGAAAAGUCUAGUGAAAGUUGCACCCGCGUGGUUCAAUUUCCAAGCAUUUGAGCAGCAGGCUCAGCUUUAUUGACCUUGGUCUAUAUGAAUAAAAUAGCAUAUGUUUACACACUUGGCUUUAGAGGGCAGCUUACUGUUGCAGUAAGAAUUAUAAAGGAGCGUUUUCUAUCACUCGCUCCAGCUUCUACUCUGCCACACUCCCUCCCUCCUGUCUCCCUUUUACUGCCCUCUCAAUGCAGACCCCUAGGCAAUAGGCCUCUCAGCCAUUUCUUUUACACACUGUCCUCUUUAGCCCAGUAAAAUCAAAGUUCCAGAAAAUUAUAAUUUAGCAAUUAGAAUAUAUGUUAAAUCUAUAAUAUAUCCACACAAUAAACUAAAACCAAUUGAUAAGGAUAUAAAUUGCCCACCUAGAUUAAGAUAAAUUUGCCUACAGAAAUCCAUCCCAGCUACCUUGGCAAUUCAGGACCCCAGAUCUGGGUCAUCCUCCCCAGUCUCCCUCCUCCUCUCCCACCUUACAGAAACUUUGUUCCUGCCU
rnacentral:lncRNA from 1 species